AGCGAACGCUGGCGGCAGGCCUAACACAUGCAAGUCGAACGAACUCUUCGGAGUUAGUGGCGGACGGGUGAGUAACACGUGGGAACGUGCCUUUUGGUUCGGAAUAACUCAGGGAAACUUGUGCUAAUACCGAAUGUGCCCUUCGGGGGAAAGAUUUAUCGCCAUUAGAGCGGCCCGCGUCUGAUUAGCUAGUUGGUGAGGUAACGGCUCACCAAGGCGACGAUCAGUAGCUGGUCUGAGAGGAUGACCAGCCACACUGGGACUGAGACACGGCCCAGACUCCUACGGGAGGCAGCAGUGGGGAAUCUUGCGCAAUGGGCGAAAGCCUGACGCAGCCAUGCAGCGUGAAUGAUGAAGGUCUUAGGAUUGUAAAAUUCUUUCACCGGGGACGAUAAUGACGGUACCCGGAGAAGAAGCCCCGGCUAACUUCGUG
rnacentral:rRNA from 1 species